rnacentral:rRNA from 1 species
GUCGAACGAAGCACUUCAUAAAGUUUACUUUAAGAAGUGACUUAGUGGCGGACGGGUGAGUAACGCGUGGGUAACCUGCCUUACACAGGGGGAUAACAGUUAGAAAUGACUGCUAAUACCGCAUAAAACAGCAGAGUCGCAUGACUCAACUGUCAAAGAUUUAUCGGUGUAAGAUGGACCCGCGUCUGAUUAGAUAGUUGGUGAGGUAACGGCCCACCAAGUCAGCGAUGGGUAGCCGGACUGAGAGGUUGAACGGCCACAUUGGAACUGAGAUACGGUCCAGACUCCUACGGGAGGCAGCAGUGGGGAAUAUUGGGCAAUGGGCGAAAGCCUGACCCAGCGACGCCGCGUGAAGGAAGAAGGUCUUCGGAUUGUAAACUUCUGUUAUGGGGGACGAACACAUGACGGUACCCCAUGAGAAAGCCACGGCUAACUACGUGCCAGCAGCCGCGGUAAUACGUAGGUGGCGAGCGUUAUCCGGAUUUACUGGGUGUAAAGGGUGUGUAGGCGGGACUGC